rnacentral:rRNA from 1 species
CCUACGGGGUGCAGCAGUGAGGAAUAUUGGUCAAUGGGCGUAAGCCUGAACCAGCCAAGUCGCGUGAGGGAUGAAGGUUCUAUGGAUCGUAAACCUCUUUUAUAAGGGAAUAAAGUGUGGGACGUGUCCUGUUUUGUAUGUACCUUAUGAAUAAGGAUCGGCUAACUCCGUGCCAGCAGCCGCGGUAAUACGGAGGAUCAGAGCGUUAUCCGGAUUUAUUGGGUUUAAAGGGUGCGUAGGCGGCCUUUUAAGGCAGCGGUGAAAGUCUGUGGCUCAACCAUAGAAUUGCAGUUGAAACUGGGAGGCUUGAGUAUGUUUGAGGCAGGCGGAAUGCGUGGUGUAGCGGUGAAAUGCUUAGAUAUCACGCAGAACCCCGAUUGCGAAGGCAGCCUGCCAAGCCAUGACUGACGCUGAUGCACGAAAGCGUGGGGAUCAAACAGGAUUAGAUACCCCUGUAGUC